CCGGGGGCAAGCCAGGUGCGGCUCGGCCCGAGAGGGAGGGGGGGGGCACGGCCCCGUCUCAUGAAUUGCCCCCCACCACCCUCAGCAAUCCCCUGCUCCCAGGCUCAGGUGAAUUCCGCAUCCUCACCCGGGGCUGCGGCCUGCAACCCCCUCCCCCAGCCCCUGGCACCUUCUCCGGAAAGAGCCACUGUGAACCCCCCCGGCCGCCUCCGCCCCUUGCUCUAAAUGCAAACAGAUUAAAGCCUGAAGAACUCGCGCUGCUGCAUUAUUUAUGGGGCCUCUUAGAGUGGUCCUGUUGCCACCGAGACCGGGGAGGGGGGAGCGGGUGAUGAUAAAGCAAAAUCUGCAGGGUGGAAAGGCGCUGGGCAGGGCCCGCUGGGAAGCCGGGCCGCCCGGGGGCUGUGCGGGGCCCGCGCCCGGCCUCCGCUGCUGGGCCGGGCUCUCCGCAAACAGGCAGACAAAGCAGCCAGGACCCCCCGGCCCCGGCCCGGGAGCCCCCGCCCCCUACUCGCUACGGGAGACUGACAAAUUUGUUAAUCAAAUAAAUCUGCAUGGAUAAAGUUUAUAGAGCCGGACAGGCAGCCCCCGCGCCGGGCCCGGAACGCGGUCCCCGGCUCCCGGCCCGGACUGCGGCGCGCACACACGUACCAUAACGCGCGUUAGGCGCUCUCCGCCAGCCCCGGCUGGCCAGGCGGCAGGGAGGGGCAGGGCUGAAGGGCGCUGCGGGGGGGGGCUCCGUUCCCGGAGUGCCCUGCUCCACGCGGAGCAGCUCAAUAUACCCCGAAAGGGCCGCUGAGGCCGAGCUGAGUGAGGGGCUCCCGGCUGCGCGGCAUGAAAGCAACUCUCCAGUCGCUGCCUCCUCCAUGCUGCAUUUUUCCGAGCGAGGAUGAAAAGGAAGAGCCACACAUGGGGGGGGCUCACCGAGGCCCGGGAGGCACCGGGCGGGGUGGGGGCUGCACCCUGCGGGGCUCCGAUGCACCCUGUGCGGGGCAGGAGAGAAGAGAAAGGGACCUCACGGCACCCCCGCACCCCAGCUCUGCUGCGCUGCCUUCCCCGCCUGCCACCCCGCACCCCCCGCAGGCGAGACAACCUCAGCCCCCGCCAGGUUUGGGGGAAACCGCUCGCACGAGAGAUCAUGUUGUGACAUGUCAAAAGGUGCUGGGAAGCUGCCACCACGGCCCACUGCGCUCACAAGGAAGCAGGCAGACAGGUCACAGAGGAGACCCUGGCGCAGGGAAUCCCACAAGCUGGACUCUGGAGCCCUCCCCAGGAGGGCAGACUUGUGCAGGGGUUGGCGUGUGAGGGUGGCUCAGAGGAAGGGCCUGUUCUGACCUCCCUUGUGCCGAUGUCGACCAGCAGCACCUUGAAAACAAGGGAGGAAUACUGGGGUGAGCGGAGUCCGACCCCAGGCACGGCGUCGGUGGGGUCUUCACGCACAGGUGGAUGUGGAAGUGGGACAUAGCCGACUGCAGUCUCUUCACGGCGGGGACCUCUCCCUGGCAGUGUGGAGCUCCCAGGGGGCAGACAGGCACUGCAGCACCUUCCUGCUUCUCCUUGGCUUGUGCACAAGCCCCGUUAAACCUCUCCCAACGCUGCUUCCAGU